UAGCGAGGUUCAAAUACCAGCAGUGAGGUUAUUUCUUCAAAAUCACGUAAGUUAGAAACUACUGCCUCAAAUUCAUGCUUUUUUACACUACCAUUGUUAGAAAGGGAACUGUAGAACAUUUUUUUAUUUAAAAUCUCUAUUGCUUUUAUGCUACAGGGGUUCCGGUCAUUCAAGUAAAAGGAUUUUCUCACAACCAAAAGUAUGUACUGCUGUAAAGGUGUACUCUGUAAGAAUUAUGUGAUUGAUUAGUAGUACAUCAGUUCCUAUAACACUAGGACCCAUGAACUAGUCAACAAAUAUUUAGAAAAAAAUGUACAUACUAAUUUUUCUUCAACUUAACUAACUAAAUAUAUUCUCUUUUUGAAAUUUUGCAGCACCACUUGAUGUAGAAAAUUGGUUCGCUACUGUUUUCGGAGAGAUCGUUUGCGAAGAAGAAUUUUUAUCAGUUGUUUCUGCAAUCCAGAAGAUUACUUGUUAUAAGUAGUACAACUACUCUCAGUAUCAAUUUUCAAUCAGGAGGUUUCUGUGUUUUAUGGAGAUUUUCCCAUUGUUAAG
rnacentral:lncRNA from 1 species